rnacentral:rRNA from 1 species
UACGUAGGGGGGCAAGCGUUGUCCGGAUUUAUUGGGCGUAAAGAGCGUGUAGGCGGCCAGACAGGUCAGCUGUGAAAACUCGAGGCUCAACCUCGAGACGUCGGUUGAAACCGUCUGGCUAGAGUCCGGAAGAGGAGAGUGGAAUUCCUGGUGUAGCGGUGAAAUGCGCAGAUAUCAGGAAGAACACCCGUGGCUAAGGCGGCUCUCUAGUACGGUACUGACGCUGAGACGCGAAAGCGUGGGGAGCGAACAGG